UUAGUAUAUAGUAGUAGAUAAUUAGUUAUUUAUCUACAUAAAUGUAAAUUAUAUAAAUUAUAUGAAUUUAAAAUAUAUGCAUCCAAGCUGUUAUCGAGCCGAACACGAACGAGUUGAUCCCAACUCAUGUUCGGCUAGUUUAUUAAACAAACUGAAAAAUUUAGCUCGUGUUCGUCUAGCUUAUUAAAUUAGCUGAAAAUUUGAGAUAGUGUUCGACUCGUUUACUAAAUGAGCGUUUCGAUUUCGAGCUUAUUUCCAACAGAAUAUGAGCUGGCUCGCGAACAAUGAGCUGAAUUACCACCCCCGGCGCCUUACUCUAAAAAUAGAACUAUUACUGAACUAAG
rnacentral:lncRNA from 1 species